GAAGUUGUGGAGUUCAUGCUCUCCCAAAGGUCAAAAGUGAAGUCUCAAGAUGGGAAGUUGUGGUGUGUCUUUUGGUUGCAGUAGGUUUCUCUCGAGUCACUUGGGUAGAGAGGAAUGAAGACAGCCAACAGUACUGUCCUCGCACUUGAUCUUGCUGUAUGUCAAACAUGGAACCAGGAUGGAGUUACAACUACAAAGUUCUGCAGAGGGGCUCAUGACCCAGGAAUGUGCCCUGAAAUAAUAUAUUAACCACCAAACAUAUUGUUUUGAAGACUUGUUAUAGUUAGUGUUUCUAUGGCUGUGAAGAGACAUCAUGACCACAGCAACACUUACAAAGCAAAACAUUUAAUUCAGGAUGGCUUACAGUUCAGAGGGUUAGUCCAUUAUUGUCAUGGUGGGAAGCAUGACAGUGCAUAGGUAGACAUAUUCUGGAGAGUUAGCUGACAGACUCUAUUCCUCUGAAACCAUAAACCAAACUAAAACCUUUCUCCUGUAAGUUACCUUUGUCAGUGUAUUUCAUCAGAAUAGCAGAAAACUAACUAGUACAUCAUAUUUAAGUGGGGGAAAUCCCUGGUAUGGUGGUGUGCUCAGUUCUAGUGUUGUGGACGGACAGAAGGGUAAACCAUUGGGGCUUACUAACUAGCCAGCAUAGCCUGAUAAGCAAGCCCAUACCAGUGAGACACCCUGUCUAAACAAAACAAAACAAAACAAAACAAAACAAAACAAAACAAAACAAAACAAAGCCAAGCCAAGCCAAGGUGCAUUGCAGCUAAGAAUGACCCCUAAAGUUUUCCUUGGGCCUCCUUGAGUAUAUGACACACAUGCCCAGUUACUGGCACACGCAUGUGCCCUGACACAUGAACACAUACCUAUAUGUAUAUAGAUGUAGACACAUCCCCCACAGAAUAGCCAAAAGCAAGCUUCAUGGUAAAUGAGUUCAAAAUGUAAAUGAAAUUUUAAAAAUGCAACCACUUUAUAAUUUCUUACCUUGAAAAAGGACUCUAAAAGGACUCUACAUAGUUAAUAGGUUGCCUGCCAAGAAGAGGCAUACAGAAUGAACUCGCUGGAGCCAAAGCAUCCAUGUAAGAAUGUUUAUCUUUCCUAGAUCCAAAUUUCUGCAGCUUCACUUAGUCUAACCACGAAAUACUUAUAUAAGGGACACACUGAUGAGCACAGCAACAUCACCGGAGUUUUAAGUAGGUUAAGACAGGAACAUUCCUUUAAAAGGCGUUUGAAGGACUGCAUUUUUAAAGCUUGUCGCUAUAGCCACAUGCUUUUUUAAAGCCAGAACCCUGCCCAUCUGCACGCACAGAAAUAUUAAGUUAAUCACCCAAGAAGAGAUUUUUGAAAGCACUCUUAAGAUAUCUUUUAGUCUUAGAAAUAAGUCAGUCUUCAGGGAAAAAGAGGCAAAGGAAACCUGAUCGUCUACUCCAGGAGAGCAUUAACAGCAAUGUCUUGCCGCAUCCCAAUUAAAAGGAUGGUCAAAGGUCAGUGAGAUGGUUCAGUACGUAAGGGCACUUCCUGUCAGGCCUAAAGGAACGGAGUUUGAUGCCCGGAAGCCACGUGGUAGAAGGUAGAAGGAGAGAACAGAGUCUUGAGAGUUGUCUACUGAUUUUCAAAUAUAGGUUCUGGGUGUUCUCUCUCUCUCUCUCUUUAGCUGGUGGUGGGGGGGGGGGGGGGUGGGCAGGAGCUGGCCCUGAAUUGAAAUAGCGCGGGAAGAGAAUGCGAACAGGCCUACCUUAACGCUUUCCAGCCUCUCAGGGAGUCCAGGUCAGAGAUUAGGGAAACCAUUGUCUGAGAGCUGCGGAAAGAAGGCAAACCGGAGAGCAGAGGUGCCUGACAGGGCGACAGGGACGCAGGCAGAGGUGGCUCUGGGCUCAGGCCGGAGCAGCAGCGCCCAGCAGCUCGGCUCUUCCUCCUUCCAGGACUGAUAAGCGCUUGUCCU
ensembl:lincRNA